UACGAAGGGGGCUAGCGUUGUUCGGAAUUACUGGGCGUAAAGCGCACGUAGGCGGAUUGUUAAGUGAGGGGUGAAAUCCCGGGGCUCAACCCCGGAACUGCCUUUCAUACUGGCAAUCUUGAGUCCGAGAGAGGUGAGUGGAAUUCCGAGUGUAGAGGUGAAAUUCGUAGAUAUUCGGAGGAACACCAGUGGCGAAGGCGGCUCACUGGCUCGGUACUGACGCUGAGGUGCGAAAGCGUGGGGAGCAAACAGG
rnacentral:rRNA from 1 species